rnacentral:lncRNA from 1 species
AGCCACCUUCCACCAUCUGUGAAAUAUUACAUUGUUUCAAAGACAGAUAUUUCAUCUUCAAAACAUAUCCUGAUGACCUGGGAACCUUCCUCUUUCCCAGCUGUAUAAUCCUUCUUUACAGGUUUGACUAUAUUGAAUUUAAAAAACUGCCUAAUGAACAGAAAACGUGCCAUGCUCGUGAUUCAAUUUGAUGAAAACAGUUCUUCUGGGAAGAGGAAAGCAGGUGUGCUCUUCUUUGAAGGUUUUUAGUUGCCUGAAGUUGUAGAAAGCUGCAAAGUAAUUGAAUGUUACCAUUAUUGUUGGAAAUGAAGGACAGCACCUUUAUGGUUGAUUUCAGACCUUCAGCCACUAACAGAAAAACACACAAUGUA